GAUGAACGCUAGCUACAGGCUUAACACAUGCAAGUCGAGGGACCGGCGCACGGGUGAGUAACACGUAUCCAACCUGCCCUUUACUCGGGGAUAACCUUUCGAAAGAAAGAUUAAUACCAGAUAUCAGGGAUGGGGAUGCGUUGCAUUAGGUUGUUGGUGAGGUAACGGCCCACCAAGCCUUCGAUGGAUAGGGUUACUGAGAGGAAUGACCCCCACAUUGGAACUCGGACAAGGCCCAAACGCCUACGGGAGGCAGGAAUGAGGAAGAUUUGUAAAGAGGCUUUAGCCUGAACCAGCGAAUUAGCGUGAAGGAUGAAGGCUUAUGGGGCGUAAACUUCUUGUAUAUAAGAAUAUGUAUUAGAUGAAUAAGGAGCGGCUAACUCCGUGCCAGCCGCCGCGGUAAUUC
rnacentral:rRNA from 1 species